AUACGGAGGGUGCAAGCGUUGUUCGGAAUUACUGGGCGUAAAGCGCGUGCAGGCGGUAAGGUAAGUCAGAUGUGAAAGCCCCGGGCUCAACCCGGGAAGUGCAUUUGAUACUGCCUUUCUUGAGUAUGGGAGAGGAGAGUGGAAUUCCCAGUGUAGAGGUGAAAUUCGUAGAUAUUGGGAGGAACACCCGUGGCGAAGGCGACUCUCUGGACCAAUACUGACGCUGAGACGCGAAAGCGUGGGGAGCGAACAGGAGUAGAAACCCCAGUAGUCC
rnacentral:rRNA from 1 species